rnacentral:lncRNA from 1 species
CUCAUUCAAUUACUAUUUAAUAAAAUCAUGUGAUAUGCAUUAGUAAUGGACAAUCUCCACUUUCAAAAUAUAAAAUCAACAGAGGGAAUAUUAAACUUCAGAUUCCAUAACAAAGAAAAACCUAAAAACGCACAACAAAAGCCAGAAAACACAAUGACUUUGUUCCAGCAAGUGUCCAAAACCAAAACCAAAGCCUAUAUUAUAUCCCUUUCAUCGUGAACCCAUCAUACAUAGUUCCAAGAAAAACCCAUCAUUUGGAAUUUUUCCUAGCUAUUUGUUUAAGCGGAUAAGAUAGAAUCACAUCUUCAUCUCUGGAUUGAGGGCUUAGGAAAAGACUAACCCGGCCCCUUGGAAGGGUUGAACCCAGAUGCUAACUGAAAUACAAGACAAAAGCAAGAGGCAUAUAACUAAACCCAAAUAGGAACAUUUAUAUUCAAGUCUUUAUGCUAGAGAACUGAUACCAUAAAUAAAAUUUCAACUUAAAUAUUGCAAGAUUUUACACACAAAAAAGUAUAGAGGGAAAAAAAAUUAGAAUGGCCAUUUUCGAACUUGGAAAUAACAUUAAAAUGCUUCUGUCAGCAUUAAUCUAUAACUUGAAUAGUUUGCGAAAUCUUUUACAAUUCUAUGAUAUCCACAGUAUGUAAACAAAGUAAAUUCCGUCCAUGCAUCUGAAUCUCCUAUAAGCCUAUGCCUAAAGACUGACGAGCAACUAUUAUAAAUUAUGAAGACUAUAAGAGAUUAUCAACAAAUUUACCUAGUAGAACAACUAACAAAAAAAGACAACUAAACCAUAAUCAAACUCUGAUCUCUCGCAAUUUAUACAGAAUUAAACUUGAACCCAGCCUCUUUUUCUUUUAUUUUUUCCCAUAUCAAACAAAGCAUAACUUACUUGAAGAAGUCUGUUUACAAACAGGUAAGUCUAUUUCCUUACCCUUAAUCCAUAUGACCUAAAGGCAUUAUUAGGGUAGAAGAAAUCCAGAGAAAAGAGACCAUCAACCUAUAUUUCAAUCCAGAAAAAAAGAGAGAAUUGAACAAAUUACCAUGCUAUAUCCCUUUAAGAAAACUAUGAAAAUCUUGCUCUCUAACCAUUUUUAACAGCCAAUAUAAAAAUUUACUACUACCCGUACUAUAAUGACAAUUAAACACAUCCAGAUGUCCCAUAACUUUCAUCACUCAUUCACUGGACAAAAUAAGCUUUCGUAUAACAACUAUUAGAAAGACUAAAGAGUAAAGGGGGUAUCCUUUGUAAUCCAUUUCUGAGUGCAAAGAAAAGAAGACAUAAGCCACUUCUUUUCAAUUCAAAAUUCCUUUUGUCCGACAGGCACACUGCGGUCAUAGUGUGGCUCCAGGACUAUCCAUAAAGUUUAUGCAUCCAUAAAAUCUAUACAUGUUUUUUAAUUAACAUCCUUCAAAUACAACAGAGAGGAAAUCACAAAAAGAUGCCAUAUUUUACAAUGAAAAGUCUUUUUAUGGUCGAUCACCAAUAUGACAUUGAUUAUAAGGAGGGUCAAUAAGGAUGAAACUUGAGGGACAGAAGUGAGUACAAGGGUAAAUAAGUAGAUCUAUAUAAAUAUUUUUAAAGACAACUAACUAUCUUUUUAGUCCUAUCCAAAAAGUCUUAAUACCGUAUAGCGUAUGGCCCAAAAAGUUAAAUAAAAUAACUAAUAAACGGGCAAGUCUUAAUACUAGUCUUCGGCCCCAAAAAUUACAUAAACUAACUUAUAAACAGGCCCAUGCUUGGCACUGGCUUAUGAACUAGUGCAGCAUAAAGUUGAACUAUCCAUUUCCAUAGUUCGUAUAACCAGGAAGGAAUCUCAAUACCAGUAAGAUAGAGGAUGGUAAAGGGAAUUACUACAUCUGAUUCCCAGAAGUCAAGGAAUGUUUCAUCACUUUACAUAUAGAUUACAUCAUCGCUGGGAAAAAUGGUUAAAUAAAUUCAUUAAAAUAAAACAGAAUAACAAUAUAAGUGGAGGAACGGUUCAAAAAUGUACUUGAUGACUAGUUGUCAUCUAGGUUUUAUCAGAUAUGAUGCACCAAGAAUUGCCUACGACAGUACAUGUGACGACCCCAAAUCCAGGUACUUGAAAUCCGAACUCGGUUCUCCACGAUACCAUUUCUUUAAGCUGAAUAAUACUAAAUAAUAAUACAUUCAAACUUAAUUUACAUACAUCAAAGUUUACUUCCCCAGGUGCGUGACCUUCAAAUACAUUCCUUACAAUACUUGAAUAGAUACCAAUACAACUAUAAUCAUUAACUCAUAAUACACACUUAUUCGAUCAGCUUUCCUUUUUCAUUUGUUCGUGCCUGAGCCUUCAGGUUGCUCAUACAUAACUGAAAACAUUUAAUUUAAGCAAGGAUGAGCAUUUAAGUGCCCAGCAAGUAAUAACAAUUAUAUAUAAGCUGAAAGAAUAUAAGUAUUCUCUUUACAUAACACUUCUACAACGAAUUGAAAGUUAUGAAGUAAUCUGUACUGAUAAAAAAAUCACAUAACAACUCUCUUUCAAAUUCUUUAAAUUUGGCUCUGGCUCUACCCUUGAAUAGGGUUUAAGAAACAUACUAUGAACAUUCUUUUCAUUUUCGAAAAGGUUUAGCGGAAUUCUAUCCUCAAACCGUCAUAACUUACGGGCACGGAGGGUGAUCAGCCCCGUUGUACCCUGUAUUGAUCAAUACUACAUAACUUGAACGAAAUUCAUCGCUCACUCUAUCCGCCUUGCGCAAAAAUCUUCCCAUAUAGGGAUGUUCAUACAUGCCUGGUUCCAAACCCGAAGGUUUUUAAUCUUGCUCAACAAUAAUAUGUAAUUCAACAUAUAUAUACGGGUAAUUGACAAAGGUGUAUCAACAUGUGAACAAAUGCCAUGAUUAUCCAAGUGGGGACACUUGUAUAACCAUUUAUAGAAAUCAAUGAACAGAAUAUAUAUCUGAGCUAACAUGUCGAUAAUCAAAGAGUACAUAAUCUGUACAGGGAUAGAAUAAUUCUGAAACUUCUUACUCAUGUCCAUUGCAUAAAGGAAGUGCAAAGGUAGGAUACUUGCCUGAUUCGCUGAUUACAAAUCUCAACUUAGGUUUUAUCUCUUUAUCACAACCUAUCAAUAAUCAGAUCAUUCGUUCGAUUAGAACAAUAUAUCUUAACACAUAGUACUGUCUAUUACAGUCAGCACAUAGUCUAAUCACAUAAUCACAGUGAUCAUACUUUUAGUUCCUAUUCUAUACUUGAAAUAUUUUUAUACAUUUUUCAAAUAUCUCAUCCAUGCUCUUACAGUAGUCUUUUCUUUCUUUUAUAAGGUCUGACAUUUGUCGGCGUACCGACAGCUUUAUCGGGUAAAUACUGAGUCUAAGACUCUUAUUCUAUACCUCAACAUCUGUAAAUAUCAGACAUCUUAUUUUUAAUCAUUUUCGCAAUUUCCAGAAAUUGAAAAAUUUAAAAUAAUUCAAAUCUGUCACUAAAGGGCCUAUAGUGAUAUAACUGUUACUAUAGGUGUUCUUCUUCAAAUUCAGAACUUCAUAAUCGGUUCUCAAGUCAGCUAGUUUGGCCGGCUAUAACUUUCAAAUAUCGGAAUCAUAAUUAAAUGAUUUAAACAUUAAACAAUUCCAUUAUCAUUAAUAGUUUAAUUAAUACUAAACUAUUAAUGAAACCAUUGCCAAAAUAUAAAAGUUAUUUAUAAUAACUCAAACUAUUUUUAAAACAUUUAUAUUACCCAAAUAAUUACCAUUAAUAUUUAAAUAUUAAUGUACUAUUUAUCCAAAUAUUAAAAGUCAUUAAUUAUAACUUAAAAUAUUUUUAAAUCCUUAAUAUCCUCUUUAAAUGGUUUUUAAAUAAGUAAAACCAUUUUUAAACUAUUUAUUUAAUAUUAAUCAUUAAAUAAACUAAAUAUCAUUAAUAUUAUCUUAAUAUCAUUAAUAUUUAAUUAUUAAUGAAAUUAUCAUUUAAAUAUUAAAAGUUAUAUUUUAUAACUUAAAAUAUUUUUAAAUACCUUAUUUUCAUUUAAAAUGAUUUUUAUAAUAUUAAAAUCAUUUUUAAACUAAAUUAUUUAAUAUAAUCAUUAAAUAACUUUAAUAUCAUUAAUAAUUAUUAAUUAAUGAAAUUCAUCACAAAAUAUUAAAAGUCAUCACAAAUAACUCAUUUACAUAAUCAAUUCCAAGCCAAAAUAAACAUAGUAAACUAACUAGUUUAUUAACAACACUAACUAAACUUCAAAAAUUCAAACUUUAACUAACAAUUAAAAAUAAUAACAUUACAAAAAUUAAAUAAGAAACAUACCCGGAAAUACGAAUUCCACAGACUGAAUACGCACUUCCACGCCAAAAUUUAACUAAGGAGAUCUUUAUAAAAAGUUCUCCCACAACAAAGCCUUUCUCAAAAAUUGGAGGCCUU